CUACGGGUUGCUCCAGUGAGGAAUAUUGCACAAUGGGGGGAACCCUGAUGCAGCAACGCCGCGUGGAGGAUGACGCAUUUCGGUGUGUAAACUCCUUUUAUAUGUCAAGAAAAUGACGGUAGCAUAUGAAUAAGCACCGGCUAACUCCGUGCCAGCAGCCGCGGUAAUACGGAGGGUGCAAGCGUUACUCGGAAUCACUGGGCGUAAAGGACGCGUAGGCGGGUUGGAAAGUCAGGUGUGAAAUCCUACAGCUUAACUGUAGAACUGCACUUGAAACUUCUAAUCUAGAGUAUGGGGGGGGAGAUGGAAUUAGUGGUGUAGGGGUAAAAUCCGUAGAUAUCACUAGGAAUACCUAAAGCGAAGGCGAUCUCCUGGAACAUUACUGACGCUAAGGCGUGAAAGCGUGGGGAGCAAACAGGAUUAGAUACCCCCGGUAGUC
rnacentral:rRNA from 1 species